AGUUACUGCCACCCUCUCCCAGGUCUAGAGAGGGGUACCCACGGUGGAGGGAGGUGGGAGGCCGAGACGGCCCCGGGGGUCGGCGGAGACCCAGCGGGAGCAGGGGGAAAUCGGAAGAGCUGGGGGCAUGGAGCGGGCGAGUUUGGAGCGGAAUGAGCCGGGAGCCCUACGUUGUGGAAGGAAGACAACAGUAUAGGACCAUCAGCAGGACCGGACAGAGAGGGGCACACCCGAGGGUGAAGGAUGAGGAGGAUGGAAGAAAAUGGGAGUGGCGCUUGCUGCAAAGGGUCUCGAAGGGUCUCAGCACCUGCGAACUGGCUCCAAUCCAAACUCCACUAUUCAUGGUCAAGUUCACAUAGGGCUUGGGGUUCUAACAAGAUGUGACUAAACUUACGUUUUCUAUCUUAUUGAUUGUUGUUGAUGCACGUCUGGUGGUACAUGCUUGAAGAACACAGACACCCUGAGAAGAAAGACAUAGCUCCCCAGAUUCCAGCACGCACUUCUCUGUGAGCUACCACUGUAGCUGAAGAUACAGGGCUCAGGAGGAACACUUGGCCUUCGCUCUGAACUUCAGGCCCACGUAACCAUCAGCCGACAUGACACUGCAAAGGCACCUUAGCUCUGCUGUCCCAGAUGGCCAAGCCAACCUUAUUCCAGAAGCUACUUCUCCUGAUGUAAGAACCAGACACAAAGGACAACCUCUGCCUCACCCUCCUUCACACAACACUGAGUCUGUCAUCUUUGAAGCAUUUCUCAAGCCAUGUUUAUUCCCCUGGCCUACGUGGAACACAGCCAGGGUACGGAACACAACCUCAGCACCGGUCUGCUUUCCUCUCCCCAUUUCUGGUCUUUCUCAGAUGCCCAGAGCUCCUCUGUCCCAAUGACUGCUUAUCAAAGAUCUCACUGUGUCCCCACCCAAGGGGUCUUUGGCCACCCUGUGAAGUCCUAGUGGCCUGGAGUUUGCCCCCUUUCCCAGACACCUUAGGGUUCCUGCUGCAGCUCCAGAACUGGGGGAGCAGGGUUGGGGGUGAGUGUGUGUGUGUGUGUGUGUGUGUGUGUGUGUGUGUGUGUUGACUCACCCUGCAGUAUUCUCUCCAUCUGCACAGGUCCCCAGUCUCUGAGACUGAAUCACCCCUCUUUCACUAUGCCUCUGCACAGCUGCCCUUGUGCUCCCUCUCCUUGCCCCGCCUCUUUUUAAGACAGUAUUAUGCAGCCCUGGCUGUCCUGGAACUUAUGUAAACCAGCCUGGCCUUGAACUUGCAGAGAUCCACCUGCCUUUGCCUCUGCCCCUGCCCCUGCCCCUGCCCCUGCCCCUGCCCCUGCCCCUGCCUUUCUGCCUCUGCCUCUGCCUCUCUGCCUUUCUGCCUCUGCCUCUCUGCCUCUGCCUCUCUGCCUCUGCCUCUCAAGUGUCAGGGAUUAAUGCCUGCCACCUCCCCAGUCCCACCCCUCUCCAUCUACCAUGUGGGUUCCACGGGGCAAACCCAAGUCAUCAGGCUUGUUGGCCAGUGCCUUUAUCCACUGAGCCAAGCCGCUUGGUGUGUCUUUGAUGGUGAUUAUUUACAGGAGCUAUUCAGCAAGGUUAAAUGCUGGCAACCCAAUGAGGGGGUCUCUUGAUCCAAAACUGAGAAGUUGAGGCACUAUUUCAGAAUGACCAAAGACAGUAGAAGAAUCUAGAUAUGUCGAUGAUGAGAACAAUGAUAACUCCAAAAGCUGAGGGAAAUUAACUCAAAAUCUUCCAGCUUCCUUUUCCUUACCUAGUUUGGCGGACUCCAACUCUUGGGAUAGCUUUUUUUCUGGCCCCAAACUCACCUGAUUCGUCUGUCCACUGCCACACUGAAGAAUGAACAGCUGUCUCAGAGAGCUUGGCUCCAGAGCUCUGCAAAAAGAGGACACCUUGCCUUGAGCUGUGUUUCCAGAAUGUAUUGCAGCCCCCAGAGUCAUGUACUGUGACCAGGUGAGGACAUGCAUCUUCUGUUCUCCUGCACCCAGGGCCCCAGCAACCAAGGAUCUGGGGACAUGGCGGGUGUUUGGCAGGUUCGCACUCUGAAAAUAUUUGAUGAGACUCAGUAUAUGCUAAAUAAACACUGGAUCAAG
rnacentral:lncRNA from 1 species